AAAUCUCUGCAGGCAAAUGUGAUGUAUUUAUAGCAAUCUCACAAUUACCUGUAGAGUUUCUG
rnacentral:pre_miRNA from 1 species